rnacentral:rRNA from 1 species
GACGAACGCUGGCGGCGUGCUUAACACAUGCAAGUCGAACGGUAAGGCCCUUCGGGGUACACGAGUGGCGAACGGGUGAGUAACACGUGGGUGAUCUGCCCUGCACUUUGGGAUAAGCCUGGGAAACUGGGUCUAAUACCGAAUACACCCUGCUGGUCGCAUGGCCUGGUGGGGGAAAGCUUUUGCGGUGUGGGAUGGGCCCGCGGCCUAUCAGCUUGUUGGUGGGGUGAUGGCCUACCAAGGCGACGACGGGUAGCCGGCCUGAGAGGGUGUCCGGCCACACUGGGACUGAGAUACGGCCCAGACUCCUACGGGAGGCAGCAGUGGGGAAUAUUGCACAAUGGGCGCAAGCCUGAUGCAGCGACGCCGCGUGAGGGAUGACGGCCUUCGGGUUGUAAACCUCUUUCAAUAGGGACGAAGCGCAAGUGACGGUACCUAUAGAAGAAGCACCGGCCAACUACGUGCCAGCAGCCGCGGUAAUACGUAGGGUGCGAGCGUUGUCCGGAAUUACUGGGCGUAAAGAGCUCGUAGGUGGUUUGUCGCGUUGUUCGUGAAAACUCACAGCUUAACUGUGGGCGUGCGGGCGAUACGGGCAGACUGGAGUACUGCAGGGGAGACUGGAAUUCCUGGUGUAGCGGUGGAAUGCGCAGAUAUCAGGAGGAACACCGGUGGCGAAGGCGGGUCUCUGGGCAGUAACUGACGCUGGGGAGCGAAAGCGUGGGGAGCGAACAGGAUUAGAUACCCUGGUAGUCCACGCCGUAAACGGUGGGUACUAGGUGUGGGUUUCCUUCCUUGGGAUCCGUGCCGUAGCUAACGCAUUAAGUACCCCGCCUGGGGAGUACGGCCGCAAGGCUAAAACUCAAAGAAAUUGACGGGGGCCCGCACAAGCGGCGGAGCAUGUGGAUUAAUUCGAUGCAACGCGAAGAACCUUACCUGGGUUUGACAUGCACAGGACGCCGGCAGAGAUGUCGGUUCCCUUGUGGCCUGUGUGCAGGUGGUGCAUGGCUGUCGUCAGCUCGUGUCGUGAGAUGUUGGGUUAAGUCCCGCAACGAGCGCAACCCUUGUCUCAUGUUGCCAGCACGUUAUGGUGGGGACUCGUGAGAGACUGCCGGGGUCAACUCGGAGGAAGGUGGGGAUGACGUCAAGUCAUCAUGCCCCUUAUGUCCAGGGCUUCACACAUGCUACAAUGGCCGGUACAAAGGGCUGCGAUGCCGUGAGGUGGAGCGAAUCCUUUCAAAGCCGGUCUCAGUUCGGAUCGGGGUCUGCAACUCGACCCCGUGAAGUCGGAGUCGCUAGUAAUCGCAGAUCAGCAACGCUGCGGUGAAUACGUUCCCGGGCCU